rnacentral:rRNA from 1 species
UGAGGAAUAUUGGACAAUGGGCGCAAGCCUGAUCCAGCAAUGCCGCGUGCAGGAUGAAGGCCUUCGGGUUGUAAACUGCUUUUGUACGGAGCGAAAAGGUCUGCCCUAAUACGGUGGGCUCAUGACGGUACCGUAAGAAUAAGCACCGGCUAACUACGUGCCAGCAGCCGCGGUAAUACGUAGGGUGCGAGCGUUAAUCGGAAUUACUGGGCGUAAAGCGUGCGCAGGCGGUUAUAUAAGACAGAUGUGAAAUCCCCGGGCUCAACCUGGGACCUGCAUUUGUGACUGUAUAGCUAGAGUACGGUAGAGGGGGAUGGAAUUCCGCGUGUAGCAGUGAAAUGCGUAGAUAUGCGGAGGAACACCGAUGGCGAAGGCAAUCCCCUGGACCUGUACUGACGCUCAUGCACGAAAGCGUGGGGGCAAACA